ACUCUCAGCAAUAGAUAUCUCGGCUCUCGCAUCGAUGAAGAACGUAGCAAAAUGCGAUACUUGGUGUGAAUUGUAGAAUCCCGUGAACUAUAGAGUAUUUGAAUGCAAGUUACGCCCGAAGCCAUUAGGCCGAGGGCACGUCUGCCUGGGCAUCACGUAUCGCAUCACUCUCUCGCAUCGUGCCUCAAUCAUGUGGCGCGUUGUUAUCGUGGGGUGGAUACUGGCCUCCUGUACAGCUCGAGCUCGCGGCUGGCCUAAAUGCGAGUCCAUGUCGACGGACGUCGCGGUAAGUGGUGGUUGUAUCUCAACUCUCUUUGUUGUCGUGUCUAUAGCCCAUCAUGCGUCUGGACUCCAAGACCCUUUCGCGCAUAGGCACUCCGACCGCGACCCCAGGUCAGGCAGGAUUACCCACUGAGUUUAAGCAAUAAAUAAGCGGACGAAAAGAAACUUACAACGAUUCCCUGAGCAAUGGCGAGCAAACGGCAACAGCCCAGCCUUAGAAUUGGGCGACUCCAUCAUCCAAAUUGUAGUUUAGAGAAGCGUCCUCAGCGGUGGACUGGGCCUAAGUCCCCUGGAAGGGGGCACUAGAGAGGGUAAAAGCCCCAUUGUGCUUGGACCCUGUCACACCAUGAGGCACUGUCUACGAGUCGGGUUGUUUGGAAAUGCAGCCCAAAUCGGGUGUUGAAUUCCAUCCAAGGCUAAAUAGGGGCGACAAACCAAUAGCGAACAAGUACCGCUAGGGAAAUAUGAAAAGGACUUUGAAAAGAGAGUCAAAGAGUGCUUGAAAUUAUCAUGAGAGAAGUGGAUGGGGGCCGACGAUGCGCCCCGGUCGAAUGUGGAAUGGUAACGAGCUGGUCUGCCGAUUGACUUGAGGCGUGGACCAGUGUGGAUUGGGGGCGGCCAAAGCCCGGGAUCUCCAUACACUUGUGAAAUGUCGUCUCAUCGAUUGUGGCAGGCAGCGCGCGCCUCCGGCUCUGCGUGCUAUGGACGUUGGCCUAUGGGCUCCCAAUUAGACCCGUCUUGAAAAAUAGACCAAUGAGUCUGACAUGUGUGCGAGUCAAUGGGCGAGUAAACCCGUAAGGCAUAAGGAAGCUGAUUGGUGGUAUCCCUCGAGAGGUGCACCGCUGACCGACCUUGAUCUUCUGAGAAGCCUUAUAGUGUGAGUAUACCUGUCGUGACCUGAAAGAUGGUGAACUAUUUCUGAGCGGGGCGAAGCCAGAGUAAACUCUGGUGAAGGCUCGCAGUAAUACUGACAUGCAAAUCAUUCAUCUGACUUGGAUGUAGGGCCCGCAGCUGCCUUGUCGAGCCGUUCCAUGGAAUCAAGAGCUCCUAGUGGGCCAUUUUUGGUAAGCAGAACUGGCGAUGUGGGAUGAACCGGAAGCUAGGUUACGGUGCCAAAUUACGCGCUAACCUAGAUCUCACAAAGGGUGUUGGUCGAUUAAGACAGUAGGACGGUGGUCAUGGAAGUUAAAAUCCGCUAAGAAGUGUGUAACAACUCACCUUCCCAAUAAACUUAACUUGAAAAUGGAUGGAGCUUAAGCACGUGACCUACACCCGGUCAUCGGGGAAAGUUCCAAGCCCCGAUGAGUAGGAGGGCGCGACGAUCGCUGUAAAACCUUGGGCGCGAGCCCGCGCUGAGUGUCUGUCAGUGCAGAUAUUGGUGGUAGUAGCAAAUAUUCAAAUAAGAACUUUGAAGGCUGAAGAGGGAAAAGUUUCCAUGUGAACGACACUUGCACAUGGGUUAGUUUAUCCUAAGGGUCGGGGGAACCCCAACAGAUACCGCAUUUUGCGCGUACUCCGAAAGAGAAUCGGGUUAAAAUUCCUGGAUCGGUACAUGGUGGUCAAUGAAAAUGUUAGGAAGUACGGACACAUCAGCGAAAGUCUCAAGAAGAGUUAUCUUUUCUAUUUAACAGCCUGCCCACCCUGGAAUCGGCUCAGCCUGAGGUAGGGUCUAGCGGCUGGAAGAGCACCGUACGUCCCGUGGUAUCCGGUGCACUACCAGCGGCCCUUAAAAAUCCAGAGAGCCAAAUUCUAUCCACGCCAGGUUGUACUCAUAACCACAUCAGGUCUCCAAGGGGAACACCCACUGGUCGAUGGAAUAAUGUAGGCAAGGAAAGUCGGCAAAAUGGAUCCGUAACUUCUGGAAAAGGAUUAGCACUGAGGGCUGGGCACGGGGGUCCCAGUCCUGAACCCAUCGACUGUCGGUGGACUACUCGAGUUGCUCCUACAGCUAGAGCGGGUCGCCGCGUGCCGGUCGAGGGAUGAACUGGGAACGGUUCCUUCGGGGGCCUUUCCCGCACGUCGAACAGCCAACUCAGAACUGGUACGGACAAGAGGAAUCCAAAAGUUUAAUUAAAAUAAAGCAUUGCGAUGGUCCCAACGGAUGUUCACGCAUUGUGAUUUCUACCCAGUGCUCUGAAUGUCCAAGUGAAGAAAUUCAACCAAGUACCAGUAAAUGGCGGGAGUAACUAUGACUCUCUUAAGGUAGCCAAAUGCCUCGUCAUCUACUUAGUGACGUGCAUGAAUGGAUUAACAAGAUUCCCACUAUCCCUUUCUACUAUCCUAGGAAACCACAUCCAAGGGAAUGGGCUUGGCAGAAUCAGCGGGGAAAGAAGACCCUCUUGAGAUUGACUCUACUCCGAAUUUGUGAAAUAACUUGAAAGGUGUAGUAUAAGUGGGAGCCGAAAGGCAAAAGUGAAAUACCACUACUUUUAACGUUAUUUUACUUAUUUGUGAAUCAAAAGUGGGGAACUGCCCCUCUUUUUGGACCCAAGGCUCACUCUGCAGGCCUAUCUAGGCGAAAGACAUUGUCAGGUGGGGAUUUUGGCUGGGGUGGCACAUCUGUUAAAAUAUAACGCAGGUGUCCUAAGAUGAGCUUAACAAGAAUAGAAAUAUCGUGUGGAACAAAAGGGUAAAAGCUCAUUUGAUUCUGAUUUUCAGUACAAAUACGAACCAUGAAAGCGUGGCCUAAAGAUCCUUUAGACCUCCAAAAUUUGAAGCUAGGAGUGUCAGAAAAGUGUUACCACAGGGAUAACUAGCCUGUUGCAUCCAAGCGUUCAUAGUGACGUUGAUUUUUCAUCCUUUGAUGUUAGCUCUUCCUAUCAUUAUGAAGCAGAAUUCACCAAGUGUUGGACUGUUCACCUACCAAUAAGGAACGUGAGAUGUGUUUAGACCAAUGUGAGACAGGUCAGUUUUACCCUACUUAUGACAGUUUCGCAGUAGUAAUUCAACCUAGUACGAGAGGAAAUGUUGAUUCAAACAAUUUGUCAUCGCGCUUGGUUGAAAAGCCAGUGGCACAAAG
rnacentral:rRNA from 1 species